CCCAGCUAGGAAUUAUUUAUUCCGGCCCAGAACGUUUAUUUCUUAAGCAUUUUUGGCCCAGAUUAGUUUAUUUCCUCUUGCCCAAUUACUUCAUGAAGAAAACUUCUUUUAUUUCCUUAAAUCCCCUAGCCAUGUUUAAAUUGAAAGGCCCAAUUAAAGGAAAAAGGGUAAGGCCCAAAUUUUGAAGGUAUACUCCCCUCCAUCAGUCGUUUCUCUCCCUCAUUUCCCCCAAAUUUCUCUUCAUCAAAAACCCUAAUCUCCCAAACUCCAGAUCAGCGGCGCCUCUCCUCGCCACCUCACGGUGUUCCACCGCACCGGAGUUCUCGUCCUCCUAGCUCGGGUCGGAUUCUCCUUGGAGCUGAGAGGCCUGACCUCGUUCGAGCGGCAGUAGCGAUGUCCGCUUUGCGAGGAAACCGCUGACGGAGGGGAGCGUCGCCUCCUUCAUCUCGCGACGUCGUCCUCGUCCUAUUAACGCACCAGUAUCCCCACCGUCCGAUCUAUGGUUGCUAUUACUGUUGUUCCCGGCUCGUGCUCACAACUCGCCGCUAUGUCGUGUCGUCGCUGUUCGUCGCCACUGGAGUCACUGUCGGAGGAGGAGAGGAGUCAUCACCUCUCUUUCUACGCAUACGUUCCUCCCCUCGCUCGCUCCGCCGAGACAGUCGCCGCCUCCGGUCCCGGCUGCCCGUGGUGCGCGACGGCCAGAGCUAUGCUGUCACGGAGACCUCACCGUCUCCAUCGUUGGAACUCCAGCCACCGUUGUGUAGCUCGAGCUAACGGAGUUUCCUUCCGUCGUUGCUCGGAGUCUCCAGCUGGUUUUCCCUCCUAAGCUAAGUCUUCGUGGACCCAGCUAACCUCUAAUUGUUCUUUAUUCGAAGUAGUGGUUUCUCUAUAUUCUAGUUAUGCUAUUUUCGAAGAUCUGAGUUGUAGAUGCGGUUGGGGUGCUCUUACUACGUGUUUAAACUCCAAUUAUGAUUUAGCAUGCACUUAUCAAGAUCUAGGAAGUGGCUUGUGAGUUUGCUAACAUAUGGUGUUAUUACUGUUCUUUAUCUAUGGUUUUCAUCAUGUUUGGGUUCUGGACGAUAUAAUCUUAGCAUGCUCGUGGUGUAUACUUGAUGCUAUGAGUUAUAUGAGCUUAGGUCUUGGUGGUUGGAUGAAUUACCUGCGACGUUUGCGGUUGGGUACUAACACGGCCCUUGAUCCCUUUAUAUAGAAUGAUGUGCAAGGGCUGGGAUUAUACCCUUUAUAUACCCUUUAUAUAGAAUGAUGUACAACUGAAUGAUGAGCUCAGCCUCUCUGUCUCGUUAGUUCAUCACAAUUUCAAUGAUUUGGUGGUGGAGAAUGCAAGGGCUGGGAUUAUACCCUUUAUAUAGAAUGAUGUGCAACUGAAAGCUGCAAAAUAGCUGAUGUACUUAGCUGGAAAAGGGAGUCUUAGGCUGUGCAAAAAUCGGCUGGCCUUCUGUGGUUUUGCAGAUCAUGUACUCUGAAUUUUUGGCUUCUUGGUGGCUAUACUCUGCAGAAAUUCGCAGGGGUGUACUCGUGCACUUAUUGGCAUUGCAGCCUCUUUUACUAUCCGUUUGCAGGGUGUUUUUGCUCCCAUUUGUAACUGCACAUUCACUGAAUUUGUGUACCCCUUUCGCAGGUACCAGCUGGAGUGCAGGUGGCUGUUGUGGGUGGUUUGACUGGGCUGCCUCGGUGCAGCCUUAGGUACAGGCAGAUCCCUGCAGACUUUUGCAGAUUUUGGUUGCAUUUAUGUCCACUCCCUUCGAUGCUAUGGCUAACGGCUGUUUCAUUAAGUUCUCGGCCCAUCGAGCUUCUUGGAGCUUAGGCCGAGAUGGUCUGAUGGAGUUCCUACGACUCUCGGACUGUCCUAGUGUAGCUCGACUUGUAAUUCUUCCAUUUUCUUUCCCAACAUUUAUUCAACAAAUAAAAAUACUCCUUCAUUCUUUAUAUAAAAUGUAUUAGCUCCAAUUUUCUUCCA